GACAGAGGUGGCGAGCGUUGUUCGGAAUCAUUGGGCUUAAAGCGCACGUAGGCGGCCUUGUAAGUGUCCUGUGAAAGCCCUCGGCUCAACCGAGGAACGGCAGGGCAUACUGCCGGGCUUGAGGCAGGUAGGGGCGAGUGGAACUCUUGGUGGAGCGGUGGAAUGCGUAGAUAUCAAGAGGAACGCCGGUGGUGAAGACGACUCGCUGGGCCUGUCCUGACGCUGAGGUGCGAAAGCCAGGGGAGCAAAC
rnacentral:rRNA from 1 species